rnacentral:precursor_RNA from 1 species
UAGUUCAAUGGUUGUUGUUUACAGAUAUUUUAAAUCUGAACACAGCCCUUGGAUUAGU